GGUCACAGUAGCAGUAACAGCGCAUUUUUCGUCCAUCGGUAAACUGACUACCCCUAAAGGCAGUAGCUGGGACGUUGCAGUCAACAGCCAUGGACGCCUUGGACAAAAAUAUUAGUGAAUAAGAAAAGUGAAAGUGAAGGGAAGUGAAAUUAGUGAUGUGACUUAAAUAAAUGAACGAGAGGGA